UAAUAUGUUUGGGGUUGAUCCUUGUUUAGUUAUAAUAGACCCACACCUGACUGCUUAGAAUUAUUUGUUAUCGCAUAUCCGACUACAUUAUUGACGUUGAAAAACAGAGAACUACUACAUCAUUGACGUUGAACCAUAAA
rnacentral:pre_miRNA from 13 species